GCUUCCUCAAGUCACUUGCUAGUUUAUGAAAGGUUGUUUGCAGCUUCUGCCCCCAGGAGCAUGUCUGUAUAACUUCUCUUGUGUCUCCUAAGGUAGUCAAAGCUUCAUAGUGCUGAAUGUUUAGUAACAAUAUUGCUUUAAGUUUUCUGACCCGGCAUGCCCACUGCCAUGCCUGAGUUGGAGCCCUCAUUGUUGUGCUAGGAGAUGUAUUAUGCCACGCUAGGAGCCGCUGAACUGUUCUUUGAAAGCGUAUCUUUUUCAGGCCUCUAAAAAACGUUGGAUCAGCAGAAAUGAGCAAUGCUGGGGCAGAGAAGGGCAGAGCUGAGGAAGGAUGAUGGGACAGGAACACUGAAAGUGAAGUUUCCCCAAUAAGCUGACUUUGACAGUGCAGUUCUUUGAAACAGUGUCUGCUCUGCUCCAGCUGACUGCUCCUGCCUUUGUGCUGAAGUUCACAGCCUCCUCAGCAACAAAGAAGCCAUUGCAAUGUAAAAAUGUCAGUCCUCAAGGUGAAUUUGUAGUUGCAGUUAUCUGAUUACAUAUAAAGAAGUGCUGA